CCUACGGGUGGCAGCAGUGAGGAAUAUUGGUCAAUGGGCGCAAGCCUGAACCAGCCAAGUCGCGUGAGGGAUGAAGGUACAGAGUAUCGUAAACCUCUUUUGUCAGGGAACAAAGGCGGGGACGUGUCCCCGGAUGAGUGUACCUGAAGAAAAAGCAUCGGCUAACUCCGUGCCAGCAGCCGCGGUAAUACGGAGGAUGCGAGCGUUAUCCGGAUUUAUUGGGUUUAAAGGGUGCGCAGGCGGUCUGUUAAGUCAGCGGUCAAAGCCCGGGGCUCAACCCCGGCCCGCCGUUGAAACUGGCAGUCUCGAGUUGGAGAGAAGUAGGCGGAAUGCGCGGUGUAGCGGUGAAAUGCAUAGAUAUCGCGCAGAACUCCGAUUGCGAAGGCAGCAUGCCGGCUCCACACUGACGCUGAGGCACGAAAGCGUGGGUAUCGAACAGGAUUAGAUACCCGAGUAGUC
rnacentral:rRNA from 1 species